UUUGGUAUUUAAAAGGUGGAUAUUCCUUCUAUGUUUAUGUUAUUUGUGGUUAAACAUAGAGGAAAUUCCACGUUUUCAGUAUCAAA
ensembl:miRNA